UGGAAGGAGAUGUGGAAGUUCAAAGGAGCUUGAUUGGGGAUGUAGUUAUGUAAGAGAGAAUGCAAAGAAACUUUUCUGUUUUUGGAGUUAGCACACAAAGGCCAAUGCAGAAGUCCUUAUUGCUUUUAAUUGUGUUUAUACAUACUAUAUUGAUAAUGUUUGAAAAACCUUGUUUCUUUGGGGAUGUUCACAUCAUCACAUGUAGAAACACAAGUUUUUCACAGUUCUAAUUCAAAGAUCAAUUGCUUUAUAUUUAUCCUGAUGUUUUAUAUUUCUCAGUUGUAACACAGAACAUAGGAAGAGAACAACUAAAUUUAACUCAACUUAAUUCAACUAA
rnacentral:misc_RNA from 1 species